ACCCUCUGGUUCCCUUUCCCAUCAGAUCUGUACACCGGUCUUGGUGGUCGUAAAAGGAGGGAAAGUAAUAUUGACGCUGGCCUCGCAGUGUUGUAAUCUGGCAUUAUAGCAUAUGGGCUAGUUUCGUACAGGU